rnacentral:rRNA from 1 species
AGAGUUUGAUCCUGGCUUAGGAUGAACGCUAGCGGCAGGCUUAACACAUGCAAGUCGAGGGGCAGCGCGGGUAGCAAUACCUGGCGGCGACCGGCGAAAGGGUGCGUAACGCGUGAGCAACAUCCCGUUUUGGGGGGAUAAGCAGUGGAAACGCUGUCUAAUACCCCAUAACAACAGAGGCUGCAUGACCUUUGUUUAAAAGAUUCGUCGAAAGCGGAUUGGCUCGCGUGGCAUUAGCUAGUCGGCGGGGUAACGGCCCACCGAGGCGACGAUGCCUAGGGGUUCUGAGAGGAAGACCCCCCACAUUGGGACUGAGACACGGCCCAAACUCCUACGGGAGGCAGCAGUGAGGAAUAUUGGUCAAUGGACGGAAGUCUGAACCAGCCAUGCCGCGUGAAGGAUGACUGCCCCUAUGGGUUGUAAACUUCUUUUGUGACAGAGCAAUAAGGCGUACGUGUACGCCGAUGAGAGUAUGCCACGAAUAAGCAUCGGCCAACUCCGUGCCAGCAGCUGC